CUCAAUCUUUGCUGAAGGAUGGCGUGAGAGCACAGGAGGAGGCACUUAUCCAUAGCAGGUGGCUCUCCUCAGUCAGUACAGUGCAGCAGCCUUUGCAUGGAUGAUUGUCUGUCCUCUGUUGGGCCCCUUCUGAAGAGUUGGAGUUGGUUGCAAACUAUAGAAACCAUUUGGGCUGGUUUGAGCAUAAAAGGAAAUUACUGGGAGUUAUUAGGUGCUCGGUGAUUCAUUGGGAGGUCUGGCAAAAAAGAAGCUCAAGGCUAAGCUCAUAGGAACACAGCCCGGCAUCUCACACAGAAGUGGCUUGAUGAGGAUUCUACUGCCUCCACAGCUCCUGCCAUCAUCUUCAUCUGCACCAUAGAUGCUCAGAACCCAGUCUGUGUCUGCAUGUUGCUGACUUCCAAAUGAGAGCUUCAUGAGAGUGUAUUUGGUUGGUAGAACAUAGGUCCCAGACCUUCUCCCUGGGAGCUGGAAGAGAUGCUGGGAAAUUCUGCCCUGGAAAAAUAAAACUCACAAUGUGGGAAACAAAGAAAAUGUACAGCAGGGGUUUAACAGAAUGACAGGUAUCUGCUAAAGAAAAUAUUGAUUUUUUUUAAAAAAAAAAAAGACAAUUUUCCCUUUAGAGCCCCAGAAAGAUUCAGGCCUUAGAGGCACUAAGUACUAUAGAAAAUGAGGCUGAAGCAUGGGGCUGAAACUUGGUUUGGUUGAAGGUCUCUGGAAGGCAGAGCAGUUUAACCUCUAGGUUCCCUCAUCCACCCCCAUACAGCCAGACAAUUAUCCCUCCACCCUUCUGUUCUCCUCCCCUCUUCCCUUAGAAAACUUGAAGUUUAUUCUCUAGAGAAGUUCCAGGCUCAGUGACACCAGGCCAAGGUGCUGGACUGAAAACAAUUAGAUUAAGUUAAAAUCUGCUUGAUAAGUGUACAAGUAAUCUAUUUUCAAAACCUAAGAGAUGUUGUCAGCUAUCUCUAACUAUAUGCCAGCAGUAGGCCUUCUAGGAAACUGUACUAUGAUUCCAGGAAACUCGAUUGUGGGCUGGGGAAGGACAAUAAAGUGGAUUGUAUGAUCAUCUGCUUCUGUUACUGGAAAGGGAUCCUGAUCCAGACCCCAAGAGAGGGUUCUUGGAUCUUGUGCAAGAAAGAAUUCAGGAGUCCAUAAAGUGAAAGCAAGUUUAUCAGAGAAGUAAAGAAACAAAAGGAUGGCUACCCCAUAGACAGAGAGCCCUGAGGGCUGCUGGUUGGACAUUUUUAUGGUUAUUUCUUGAUCAUAUGCUAAACAAGGGGUAGAUUAUUCAUAAGUUUUCUGGGAAAGGGGAGGUUCCCAAAACUGAGGGUUCCUCCCCUUUUUAGACCAUAUAAGGUAACUUGGGUGUUGCCAUGGCAUUUGUAAACUGUCAUGGCACUGCUGAGAGUGUCUAUUAGCCUGCUAAUGCAUUAUAAUUAACGUACAAUGAGCAGUGAGGAUGACCAGAGGUCACUUUCAUCACCAUCUUGGUUUUGGCCGGCUUCUUUAUGGCAUCCUGUUUUAUCACCAGGGUCUUUAUGACCCGUAUCUUGUGAUAUCAAUCCUGCCGACCUCCUAUCUCAUCCUGUGGCUAAGAAUGUCUAACCUCCUGGGAAUGCUGCCCAGCAGGUCUCAUUCUCAUUUUACCGAGCCCCUACUCAAGAUGGAGUCGCUCUGGUUUGAACGCCUCUGACACUUCCACUCUCAAGGAAUGGUGUUUUUAUUCUCUUCUCCCCAGAAUGUACUUCUGGUCUGUCCCGCUGUUCCAUUCCACAGCAUUUUAGGAGGUUCUCAAGAGUGUCCUAAACAAGCAGAGAAGAAUGGUGAGACUUACCCAUUCCUAGUUUAAGAAAUGAGUGAAAUGGGGUCUGAGUUAUAUCACAGGUGAGCUAGACAUCCUCGAAAUAAAGAGCCAGAGUAUCAGGCAAACCUUCUAAUAGCUAAAAUGAGCGUACUUCUAUUCCUAGCUACAGUUUAGACUCCUGUGGUACAGUUGGCUUUCCCAGGCUCCCGGCGUCCAUGCUGUCUCGGCGCUAUCUCGCAGCCUGACGCCACGCGCCAUCUGCUGGCCUUGAGCUGCAUAGCUCUAGAGUAACUUCAGAGGCCACGGGGGAACAAAGAGCACUCGCCUACUUGACUGAGCUCCGACAGGCCGUCCCUCUGCUUCAGGUGUAGGCGUGAACAAGUCCAGACCACUACCUUAACAGACUCUGAAUACCUCAAGAGUGGGAGAUUGGUCUUGCCAAUCAGAGAAGCUCCAGGGCUAGCCUAGUGCCUGGCACAUG
rnacentral:lncRNA from 1 species